rnacentral:tRNA from 1 species
GGUGGUUUAGCUCAAGGGUAGAGCAACUGCUUAGCGUGCCCAAGGUCCUGGGUUCAAUUCCCAGUACCUCCA